AUCCAGUCCCGCUGCAACGAGAUGGGAAGGGGUCACCGUGAACCUCUGCAGGAGACCUGCGUACUGUAGGCACGUAGCUGCCAGCCCCGGCCGUACCUACGCAGCCCCGCACCGCUGCAGCUGGGAGGUUGGGAUCUUUUCAUGCUCUCAGCACCGAAGUCCCCUCCCAAAAGUAGCAGCAUCCCCAGGGACUUACACACGUGGCUUCAAACAAGUGGAAGACAACGUAGACGGGCAUGACCCAGGCCACCAAGUCGAUGAUCUCCCUGUGGACAAAGAGCCAGUAGUCCCUUUUUGGGAUCAAACAUCCAGGGCCAGGAGCUGUGGGCACUCACUUGUCACUGGUAAAGAUGUAUCCCAGCACGUCCUUUGUGGCAGCUAAAAUGGCCCCUACAGCAAUGCAGAACGCCCCUGGAAAGCAGAGCAAGGGGAUGAGCGCAUCCCAAUGGCAAUGGGGAACCUGGGGCAGGGAGAGAAUGGGGCACCGGUCCCAACCUGUGCAGAGCAUGCUGGUGGAGGAGGAUCUCUUGGCUACCUCAAUGUCGCCGGCACCCAGCGCGUUCCCCACCUGCACACUGGCAGCUGUGCCAAGCCCCAGGGGGAUCUGCAGCCACAGGGGGUAAAGACAAUGGCAGGAAGGGCAAUGGAGCAUGGGCUUAAAUUUGGUCAUCUCCUCUGUGGGAAGGGGAGGCAGGAGCAAGGAGGGACUUGAGCACGGAGAGGGGAGAUGUAGAGAAUGGAGCUGAGCUUUGGCUGUAUCUGAGCUGGGACUGACCCUAGGGACCCUCUGCUCUGGACCCCAAAUCCCCAUCCCUUACCAUGAAGGCAACGACGGACACCUCGUAGAUGACAGAUUGUGCCGACAGCUCCACGACGCUCAGCAGCCCUGGGGGCAGGAGGGAUGGGUGCUCAGCCCCCGUGAUGGCCGUGGUGACCCACUGCACCCUGCUAGCCCCCCUCCCUCUGCUGACCUAUCAAGAAGCUGCCGAUUUCGUAAGUCCACCACUCGAUGCAUGCCAUGAGCAUGCUGGGGAUGGCCAGGGAGGUGAAGCUGUCCCACUCCAGCAGACACUCACUGGACCAGCCUGCGGAGAGGAGAGGGGAUGGAGGUUGGAUAUUAGGCUGGAUAUUAGGAAAAGUUUCUUCUCAGAAAGAGCAGUGAUGCGCUGACACAGGCUGCUCAGGGAGGUGGUGGAGUCACCAUCCCUGGAAGUGUUCAAGAAAAGAUGUCACACUGAGAGACGUGGUCUGGAGCAGUCACAGGCUCAGGUUGGUGGUUGGACUUGAUCUUAUUGGUCUUUCCAACCUCAGUGAUUCUAUGGUGGAGAUGGAAGCCAGACUGGCCAAACUUUGCUCCGGGAGCUGUUAGCGGAGCACCCAGCACAACGCUCACAAGCUCCGUGGGACCUCUAGCUGUGAAGCAUGCACGUACAAGCAGAGCUGCAACGCUCAGCUCGUCCCUCCUGGACCAGAGCACCUGAGGACAACAUCAUGCCUACGCCUGCGCUCAUCCGGUUUUGGGACCAAGCCCUCCACCGCCUCGACGUGAGGCUUCCUUCCUCCCCAAUUAAUGGUUACCGCGCGGCGCUCCGCCAACGCCCGCAUGCCAGGGUGCCACCGGAGCAGCACCGCGUCCCCAGGCCGGGGUUAAUGUUUCUCCUCCAGCACUAACAGCGUUCACUCAAAAGACGCUGUAGAAGAUUGACGAACACAUGCAUAAAGCAGAAACUGGAGGGAGAUGCCUUACCUCCCCACGUCUUCACGUGGAGCUUCUUGCCUACAAUGUACAGGAACAAGAAAAUGGUUUGAGAAUACUGAGCAAUGGUGUUGGCCCAGGCAGAACCCCUGGAAAGGAAAUGAGAAAGGUCAUUGGCAUCGUGCUUGCAUCUCCCCGUGUGUGAGGCAUUACUCACACAAUUCCCAGGUGGAACACGUAGAGGAAGAUGGAGUUGGCGAUCACGUUGACAACAUUGCCGACAAGCCCGCUCAGCACCACAGGCCACAAGAUCAUCUGCAACGAGGGGUGAACGGGGGCUGCCAUGGCUGCAGGGAGGCCCUGCCAGCCCCCUCCCCACAGCUUUAACAGGAGAGGAAACUUCUGGCAUUAGAGGUCUCAGCCACCCGUCCCCAUAUCCCAGCCCCGCAGCGUGCUCACCGCGAUGGCCAGCGUGACGGAGGCCAGCUCGACCUUGCCCAGGUGGCCGCAGAAGAUGGAGCUGACCAGGUGUAUCAGGAAGAUCAGCAGCUGGAUCAGGAUCUGAGCGCGGGGGAGAGGAGAUGCAGAGCUCGGCGAUGGAGAUGAGCAGCGCCCUCAGCCGUCCCCUCGCCGAUGCCGUUCUCCUCGGGGCCGCUCGGCCGCUUCAUGCUGCCGCUCUGCCGGGGAGUGGAACAGCUCCUUUCUCCGCGCUCUGUUAAAGCCACCGGCUGCCACAGCCCCGACAGAGCGAGCAAUGUGUAACCUGGGGGUGAACUUCAGCCCGGCCGGCUUGGCUGCGUGCAGCCAGCAGCGAUGGGCAGGGCGGGGAGCGGGGCUGGGGGCAGCACGGAUCCUGCGUCCCAGCGCGGAGCACAAACUGAUGUAGGAGCUGAGCCUUCCCGGAUCGCCCCUGUGAGCCCUCAUACCCUGCUCUGCUGCGUCUGGUGGGC